CGCUUCGACAUAAUGUGUUAUAAUUACAUUAAACCAUCUACAUUAUAAUAUGAUCAAUAGGUAUAAUUAUUAAUUACGUAUCUACCUAGUUCAAAUAGUCACAGCAUUAUGUAAUGUACCUAUUAUUUAUAAUUUUUUUAUUAAUGUGCAGUCAAACUAAGAGAAAAAGAAAUAAAAAAUGUUUUUAUAGAUGUGUAUUUUAACUGAAUGUUAAUAUUUUAUUUACAUUACAUAUAGGUUUUAAUAAGGUACAUCCUAUAUAAAAUUAAAAUUGUUAUGUGCUGCACUCUUUAAUCAAAUUAGUAGGUAGGUAAUACAUUGUAAUAACAUUGUCGUCAUUCCUAUACCUGCACGCAGCCGUUGUCGUACGGCGUACACAUGACUUGACCACGCUUUAUACUAUUGUAAGGCCCAAGUAGAGUUUAUCGACGAUAAUUUUUCUAUAAUUAUUAUAAUAUUACCAUUUACCAAUAUGAUAAUUAAUAAUUAAUAAUAGCCGUACCAACAAUAUAGUGUCUAUAUACAUAAACAGUAUUCUUAGGUACCUAACUGUAUAUGACUCCAUGAUAUAAUCAUCUGUCCGCGUUACCGUUUAUGGUUGCAGUGUCUCGGUUCAUGUGCUCAAACGGUUGCGGCCGGUCGUACAAGUACAAAAAAGGAGUUACCCAACACCUGCGCUUCGAGUGCAGCAUACCUCCAAUGUUCAAGUGUUCGCUGUGCCACAAAACGUUCAAAAGGCGUAGCCACCUCAAGUUCCACAUUUCUAGCAUUCACCGCGUAUUCAUCAAAUGAGUUUAGACCGUUUAACAGGAAUAUAUUUGAGUUAACGAUAAAUAUUAUACGUUUAAUAAGAAAUACCUAUAGUUAACCAAUCCUGCAAGUCGUGAUAUUAGGUAUAUUAAUAUUGGAUCAAUGUGCAGUCAAAAGAAAAAUAUAAAAUACAAUUAACCUUAUAGACGUGUAUUAAUUUACUAAAUACUAACAUUUCAUUUCGCUUUAAUAUAUUCAUGCAUGAAUAAAAUAAGAUUCGUCACUCCUACCUGCAACUGAUUAAGCUACAAAAAUCAAUGACAGUGUAUACUUGUGACACAGAAAGUGUUUAACAAUAAUAUACUUGCUAUAAUAAUAUAAGAAAUAAUAACUGUACCAUACAUAUAAACCAUAAAAACGUAUGUAGGUAUAACCGUAUGACGUCGUGAUCCAUAAUAAUUGUAUGACCUUUUUACCGUUUAUGAUUGCAGUAUCCCGAUUUGUUUGCUCGAACGGAUGUGGCCGAUCAUACAAGUACAAGCAAGGAGUUAUGCAGCACCUGCGUUACGAGUGUGGCAUGAUUCCGAAAUUUAAGUGUUCGGUGUGUGGCAAAACGUUCAAGCAGCGUAGCUCCUUUAAAUCCCACAUUGUUUUAGUCCACCAGAUACUCAUCGAUUGAGUAGACCAUUUCACUAAAAUUAAAUUGAAUAAACUAUUUUACGUUUAAUAGGUACUUAGACAACUUUUACGAGUUGUACCAUUAUAUAUAAAUUAUGGAUUUUUCUUUUUGUAAAGUACAGUCAAAAUAAUAUGUUAAAAUAAAAAUAACCUUAUAAAUGUGUAUUAGUUUACCAAAUAUUAACAUUUUAUUUCACCUAAAUAUAUUCUUACCUCAACAAUCAAAAUGAGAGCACGCAUAAAUAAAAUAGGAUUCGUCAUUCCUAUACCUGCAGCUCAUAAAGCUACAAAAAUCGGCGACAGCGUAUACUUGUAGAGGCAGCGUGACACAGAAAGUGUUUACCAACGAUAGGGUCCCGAUUCGUAUGUCCGAACGGAUGCGGCAAGUCGUACAAGUACAAUAAAGGAGUUAUCCAGCAUCUGCGUUACGAGUGUGGCGUGAUUCCAAAGUUUAAGUGUUCAGUGUGUGGAAAAACGUUUAAACAGCGUAACGUCAUGAGGUUCCACAUUGCCAACGUUCACCACAUGAUCUCCGAUUGAGUAGACAGUUUCACUGGAAUAUUAUUUAAUAUAUUGUAACUUACAAUUAUUAUUUUACGUUUAAUAAGAGGUACCUAGCUUGCAAAUAGAAUAAGUUGUGGUAUUAUAGUAAUAUUGGAUUAAUGUGCUGUGAAAAGAAGAAAUAAAAAUUACUUUAUAGA
rnacentral:lncRNA from 1 species